CGCUCCGCGCCGCGGCGGCGGAGCGACCCGCCGCUCUCCCCGACCGCCCGUAUACCAUUCACAAUAUGCCUUCCACAGUUUGUUCAGUCCUGGACCACCAUGAAAAACUAUGCGAAAAACGGAGUUAGUCUAUCACAUCGUAAACGAUCUUUUAAUUAAAUGGGUACCCAAACAGGCCUGCAGACUGGAAGGUGCCAAUUCAGUGGGACACAGGCAGUACCAGUUCUGCACCACAAUGGCCACCUAAGGAAGGAGGUGAAGAGAUCAGCAGUUGGAGAUGCAGGUGGGAUCAGAAAGCUUCUUGCUGCAGCCGUCUUGAAGAGGCUUAGGUUGGGCUGUUACAGAUGAAAGUCUGUAUUGGCAAAAUGCCAGAACCACGGGAAGCAAACCAGAGGACUGGAGGCACAGGAGCUGAUAAGAAUGGAGCACACUUCUUCCAAGGAUAGCUGAUUUUUUUUUUUAAUAAUUUUCCUCUUUUGGCUUUUAGUCAAAGUUGUAAUUGCUGCUUCCAAGACUUAAAGUAGAAAUUCUGCACUGCUCCACAGCUUUUCCCAAAUACUGUAAGAAUACAAAA